rnacentral:sRNA from 1 species
CCCUAGCCCCGAUUGCAGUGGAAAUCCUUUUUUGAAAAAAAAGAUUGUAACGGAAAGCGGGAAAUAGC